AGGACGAACGCUGGCGGCGUGCUUAACACAUGCAAGUCGAACGAGGCCCUGCCUUCGGGCAGGUGACCUAGUGGCGAACGGGUGAGUAACACGUGGGCAACCUACCCUCAGCUCUGGGAUAACCCCGGGAAACCGGAGCUAAUACCGGAUACGACCUGGAACGACAUCGUUCCUGGUGGAAAGUUUUUCGGCUGAGGAUGGGCCCGCGGCCUAUCAGCUUGUUGGUGGGGUAACGCCUACCAAGGCGACGACGGGUA
rnacentral:rRNA from 1 species